rnacentral:lncRNA from 1 species
AAUAAACAUAAAAAUAUAUUUCAUGCUGAUUCAAUGCAAAUCCAAUCUUUUCAAAUAUUCACAUAUAAUAUAAUCAUAAAUUUGAUUCGAAUUAAAAUACUCGUAACUCAAUAGUCUCGACUAUGACCAAUGUUUAACCCCCAUUAGCAGGGUCCACUGAAUACCAGCGCACAACUCCUACUAGUAGGGUCCUCUAAACACUAGCGCACAACCCCCACUAGCAGGAUCCACUAAAUACCAGCGCACAAUCUCUACUGGCA